AAAACAAAGCGUUGGGCUGGAGAAGGCCCCGGUGCUCCGGCAUUCCCCAGCCUUCCUCCAGGUACAGAAUGUGCCAGGGCCAACACAGGGCUCCUCCUCAUUCUUCACACACAGUGACGUGAAAUGAUUCAAUCCAGGCCCUCAGGCCUACAGGGAGAGGGCCAGUCAGGUCCCACCCAGCGUGGGCAGGCCAGUGGAUGACCUCAUCGGAUCGGCCGACCCAGGGCUGCAUGUUUUGCUGACCGUGGGCUGAUAACGUUUCCUUGCUAGACGGAGGAACUGCUUAGCAUGACGCGAGAACAAAUAAACACAUGAAUGUGGUUGUUAAUGGAGCCAGGAGAAGUCCACACCUCGGAUCAUCUCCGGAGCAGCUCUCCUGCUUCCCUCUCAUUCAGAGGCAGCGUUUGGUCCUCAUCAUCCAUCCCGUAGAAGGGAUGAUAAAGCCUGGUUCCCCAAAAACAUGGAGGAUCAACCCACGCUGAUGCAGCAGAACUCAGAAGCACAGAUUCAUGCCUUCUGGUUGCAGCCUGCAACUGGCUUGCUGACCUCGAGCAGAUGUCCCAGAAGGCCAUCCAGGCUCUGAGCCCUUUGCAGAUCUGCUGUCUGAAGAAGACCGCAUCGCUGACACAACACAGACACACUCUGGUCCUCCCGAGAUAUCCUGUGUAAGCACUAGACCUAGCCUUCGCCGUCCUUCCCUCUCUGCUGUUCUCAUGGCAAGAAUAAAUAGACGGGGUUAAAACAAGUACAGAAAAUAAACUCCGAUUUCAAAGGGGCCCAGAAUACAAUGGCUAUUGAGCAUGACACUUAAGAUUAAAGGGAGUUGUGCUUAUGUUUAUCUUUCCUGGUUUGGCUCAUUGUUUUGUUCAACAGUUUGUUCAAAGUGUUUCUGUGUUGUUGCUGCCCUGCAGAUGGUCUCUGGCCCACCGGUGUUAAUUAGAUAAUUGUGUUCACCUGUGUGUAUUUAUCAUGUCUGUUUAAGUCCUUUCCACAUGUGAUUUUCUUGUUAUGGAUGUCGUAAGUCGCUGUAGUUCGUUCUAACCGCUGCCUGCGAGCUCACGUUUUAAGUUUUA